rnacentral:rRNA from 1 species
GACGAACGCUGGCGGCGUGCUUAACACAUGCAAGUCGAACGGAAAGGCCCUGCUUUUGUGGGGUGCUCGAGUGGCGAACGGGUGAGUAACACGUGAGUAACCUGCCCUUGACUUUGGGAUAACUUCAGGAAACUGGGGCUACUACCGGAUAGGAGCUCCUGCUGCAUGGUGGGGGUUGGAAAGUUUCGGCGGUUGGGGAUGGACUCGCGGCUUAUCAGCUUGUUGGUGGGGUAGUGGCUUACCAAGGCUUUGACGGGUAGCCGGCCUGAGAGGGUGACCGGCCACAUUGGGACUGAGAUACGGCCCAGACUCCUACGGGAGACAGCAGUGGGGAAUAUUGCACAAUGGGCGGAAGCCUGAUGCAGCAACGCCGCGUGCGGGAUGACGGCCUUCGGGGUGUAAACCGCUUUCGCCUGUGACGAAGCGUGAGUGACGGUAAUGGGUAAAGAAGCACCGGCUAACUACGUG